rnacentral:rRNA from 1 species
UACGGGGGGGGCAAGCGUUGUUCGGAAUUACUGGGCGUAAAGGGCGCGUAGGCGGUUCGCUAAGUUGGAUGUGAAAACUCUGGGCUCAACCCAGAGCCUGCAUCCAAAACUGGCGGGCUAGAGUUCUGGAGGGGGUAGCGGAAUUCCUGGUGUAGCGGUGAAAUGCGUAGAUAUCAGGAGGAAUACCGAUGGCGAAGGCAGGUCUCUGGGCUGACACUGACGCUCAUGCACGAAAGCGUGGGGAGCAAACAGG